AAUUUUAAAAAUUCUUUAUUUUUAAAUAAAGUUUAAAAGUAAUGUGAGUAGUGUAAAAUAUUCAAAUACAGAAAUGUAUAAAGUUGAAAGUUCCAUGUAAUCUACACUGUUCACAAAAAGGCCAUUUAUAGACUUUUCUAUGCAUUAUGAACAUAAACACACAAAUUCUUAAAUGAGUUCAUACUACAAAUUUUUCUAGCAAGUUUGUUUCACUUAAUAUAUUAUGGCCAUUUUUCCAUGCCCAUACACAAUAAAUGUACUUUAUUCAUUUUAACAGACACGUCGAUUUUCUUAUAUGGCUAAGCCAUGUGGUACAUAACCAAUUCUUCACUGAUAAACAUUUAGGUUUUCUUCUGUAUUUUUUCUACCAUGUAAUUAAUUUUUAUGCUCUGUAAACAUAAAACAUUGUCAGUUCCUGUUUUUUUUAUCUUCUAGAUUGAAAAAUAAUUUCAGUGUGGCCUUGACCUCUAGUUUAAUUAAUACUUGGAUCUGUCAAACUUCCAUAUUGGUAGAUAGCAUAUUCAGACUCAAUUUCAAGUAAUAGAAACCAAACUCAAAGUAACUUAAGCAAAAAAGGGUCUUUAUUGGUUUACAUAACUGAAAAGUCCAGGGGAUAUUCUAGCUUCAGGCACGGUUGGAUCCAGGGGCACAAAAAAUUAUCAUCAGAACUUAAGUCUCUCCAUCAUUUGGCUCCGCCUUCCUCUGCACUGGCUUCAUUCUCUGACUGGCUUAUUUGAUAUGGUAGGCCCUGUUGGUUUGAGCUUUUCAUCCUACAGAGCUAAGCAACCUCAGUAAACAGCCUCUGAGCUUCUCCUACACAGUUCACUAAAACUCUCAGGAUUAAGUAAUCACUGGACCAACUUGAAUCACAUGAUCAUUCCUGAACCAAUCACUAUGGUCAAGGAGAUGGAUUUUGCUGACUGAUCAGGUUUGAAUUACAUGUCCACCCAUGAAACCUAAGGUUAGGUCAGACUGAACCACAUGAAUUGAAAAAGAGAGAGGUGGUUCCAAGAAGCAUCAGGGAGUUGUUUUUAUUUAUAAAGAGAUGGAAUAGGUGUUGGUCAAUCAAAAACAACUGAUGUCAACGAUAAGAACAGAUAUUGAAAAAAUUUAAUCUCUGCUCAUAGAGUUGAAUGGUUAACAGCUGGUGUAGACUUCCUUGACAAUAGGAGCAUUCUGGAAAAAAUCAUGAGGAGUAAGUCUGUCUUCUACUCGAAGCUUGUAAUCCAUUUGAAUGGAAUAAUCAUGUCCAGUAGAUACUUUGAAUGAUACAACAGUUUCGAUGUAAGCAAACUCAGUGGUCAUGUGUGAGAGUCCAGCUGUCUUGCUGACAUGAAGCAGGACAACCAGCCUUCUACUGGCAAAUAGUUCUAUGAGGCUAUUCAAGUCAGUGGCGAAUUUUAAGUUUAGUGGAAAAGUUUCUUGUGUUCAUGUCUUUUGCCAAGUUGAAUCGGUACAUUUCUGUGAGUCCUGGUGAAUCAGCUUCAUCUCUGUAUUACUGUAGAAGAGAGAAUGGGCAAUGCUUUCAAUCUGCUGUACUCCUCCAGGCCUAGUAGAAAGGGUCCCAAGUAUUAAAAAAGAUAAAAUUAAAAAAAAAAAAAAAAAAAGCAUGCUCCUUCCUGCAGUGAACACUAAGUCAUGGUGGGGUGCAGGGUGCUUCUGUUCAAAACUCCUUGGUGGAACUGGGUAUAAGAUAGGUUGAGAUCAGCUGUAGUUUUAUCAAGCACAGCCAGUUGGACUGCAGUCAAAAAGGCAGGCAAGGGCUGAGUUAGGUAAAGAGGCAAGCAGGGCCAGCCAUAUCAAUAGCCAGGCUAUGAUCUGGAAGAACAGGCAGUUUAAUAUCAAAGCUCUGUAAAUUAGUUUUUACCCUGAGUACUCCAGGGUUAUUAAUCCAUAGGGUUUACUCUGGAUACAAUUUUCUGAUCAUACUGGGCCAGUCAGGUACAGCAACUUUCAUUUUCCUGCUCAUCUGCCCAAGAUCUUUCAGCUCAGAGGGUUAUAUCCUCGAUACAGACUUGAGGGUUCUGUUUAGGAGUCUAUGCUACAUCUGGGAGUGACAGGGUUGGGAGAGCCAGGUUCAUCAAGGUUGGCCCUACUUUCUUUGGUAAUCAAGUCUCCAUCUUCUGGAACUCAGCACAUCUCUUGAGAAUCGUCUUACAAGGACAUCAAGGCCUCAGACUGGUUGAAUGGUACUGCUAAAAGAUUUAGAUGAGAUUUGAGGCAUGAAGAUAAAAGGUUUGAGUUUUAGGCUUUUUGAAUCAUCAAUUCCUAUACACAGUGUACAUCAGACUCUUGAAUAGAUGAUCAUUUUCAUUUUAGGUCCCUCAUUUUGACAGGAUUGAAAGGAAUGACUUGCAGUGUAGAUCAAUGUCUUUUUCUGUCAAGUACAGGAGAAAAGGAAAGUCAAGCUGACAUUUUCAAGGUAGAAAACAAUGAGUCUGCAGAUAAGCUUCUUCUUUACAAAUAAUAGUUGCAUAUACAAGCAGGCUGGUCAUCAGAUUUUAAUUUGUUGAGGGUUGAGCAGUACAGAGUAAUCAGACUUAGGCCCUGUUUGAUGAUUUGAAGACUGAGUCAGUUAGUACAGAGGAUGAGACAAAGAUAUAAAGAAACCAUUCCCAACAUUUAACCAGUGCAUUCAUUAAAGUAGUUGAGGACAGCUGGCCCUUAAGUUGACUCUGAAGUAAAGAAAUGAGAUUUUUUUUUUUCUCAUGACACAAAGUGAAGUCUACUUGUUCUACAUGAUCUGGUCUGGGAGUUCAUUAAUUGAAUCCCUCCUGCAGAGACAUAUGGGUUGUCUUAAUGCCCAAGAGUAUCUCAAGACGAGGAAUGAAGUCAGCCACUCUGAUUCAGUGUAAAACAGUAUUGAGACAGAUGAAAUUCCAUGGAAAUAUCCAUAAGGAUAAGGGACUGUGGUCUUGUGACAUUAAGAAGCAUCAGGAAGCUCUUGAGUCUACUCAUAAAAUCUGUAGCCACAGGCUUUGCAGAUUUUCUUUCAAGUUGGUCUACAUUUCCAGCAAAAAGGUAGAUGACAUGCAAUCUGACAUGCCCUCCGAGUAAGCUACUGUGGCCUGGUCAAAAGGCCUACCUCCAAAUAUCCUUAACAUCUACAGUUGUUUGGAAGAAACAUUAAAAGACCCAUCUUAAAAUCUCCCGUUGUUUGGAAGAAAGUUUUGCAAAUGGCCACAUUUUAAAUCACAAGAAAGUAUGUUCAGAUAUUGUCUCCUGUGGAUCAGGUGUUACAUGUAGUUGAGCUGAGUAUUGUAAUUUUAGAGCAGAAUAGGCAGAUAUGCCAGUGAUGGAGGAAUUGUUUUAGCAAUUUUUCUUAAGGAUUAUUAGCUCAUUAAAUCCUGGAAACAGCAAUCAAACUGAAUUAAAAACCAAGGAGCAGUGUAACUGCCACUGGUUGAGUGACAGUAACUUAUAGUUUGAGAAGGUGAAUAAAACCAUGUACCCUUUUAGGUAACAUUGCCAAUAUUUGAAUUCUACUUUCACAGUUAAUGGUUAUCCCUUGCACACAAAGUAGAGUACCAUGGCUGAUGACAGGAGGUCCAAUGUAUAGUUGGUUGAAUAUGACCUCAAUGAGGCAUCAACUUCAAUACCACGUCAUUCAUGUAUCCAAGGAGGAUUAAGACUUCGAGGUCAUGUAUUUCAAGUACCACUAGAGUAUCUGGUGUUUAUAAAAAGAAACUGGGUAAAGGGGUUUAUCAGUGUAGAGUAUGUAUGAAUUGCUCUCUAGCUAUAUCCAAUUCUAGGAAUCACUGGAAGUCCAUCUAGGGGCAAAGGGCAGAUGGGCAAAGAUAUGCCCAUCUUCUUGUACUUUUCUGAGUUUACCCACAGUUAAGUAUUCUUAAUGAUGUUGAACAUCAACUGAACAUGGAUGGUGUUGGGUAGAGGUACAGAACAGAAUGCCUUUCAAGUUGAACACAAUGUCGUCUAGGGCAGUGGUUUUCAAACUGUGUUCUGAAGAAUUCUAGGUGCUGUAAAGAAGUCUCCUGAGGUGUCACCAUGGUGGUAAAGUAAGAUGCUUGUGGCAGGUUUCAGGCCCCCCACUUCUGCUUCUUCCAGAGCAGCUUCACUUUAACUCUGGUCUUCCGUAUAGCAUUCAUUCAAAGGGCUUCAUGGCCACAAAGCCUUUGGAAAACCAAUGAUCUAAGAAUAAGCUGUUCACAAAAUGCUGAAAUACAAAAAAUAGGUCACAGAAACCAGAAACUGUAUAAGCAAAGCCAAGUGGUAAGCCUAGAAAGUGUUUUCCUAUUUAUUCUUCCCCUAACGUACGCCACAUUAUAGAAUGAUGAAGUUAACAUUCAAGUCUGCUACAAAUUCGGAUUGCCUGAAACUGGGCUUGUAAGUGAGGCUAUUGGUUUUAAGUGACAAUAAUACUGGGGUUUUUGCAGUCAGCAUAUAGCUGCAAAAUGCAUUCAUUUCUUUGUAAAUAUUAUUCCAAGAAGUCCUGAGCUGGAUGACUUCUCUUCAAAGACUAGUAAGAUCUCAGUGGGCCAAAACUCAAAUCCUAAGCAAUAUCUUUUCACCCCUUCUUCCCCUUUUCUCUAUCCUUUUCCUCCUCCCUUCCCAGUCUCCUCACCCACCUGAGAUGCAAUGCCCUUGAACUAGGUUUAUAACACAAUUCUGGAGACAGAGAUGUAUACUGCUAAAAGCCAUGGAAUUCAUAUAAUUUCGUGGCAGAAUUAACUCCCCCCAUUCCCUUCCCAUGCAUCGACACAAACCUCCUAGAGGUUCCUUUGAUAGAAAAUGAACACAACUGUCAAGAUGUGGGGCUCUCAGAUGAUGGAGACACACUAAUUCAAGAAGUUACUGACAAGGUAAGAAAAAGGGUGGGUUCAAAGAUGCUGUUUAUUUCUGGGUCUCCAGGGCAAUUUGCUGCCAAUCAGCAAGCACUGGUUUUACUGCUCCAAAGCAGUUUUCCCAUUCCAUUAAAAACAAUGCUGCAAAAGUAACAUUCUGUGUUUCAUUAAACUUGGGACAACUGGACUAAACAGCUAAAUGAGGCUCUUUACUGCAAACCUUCUGAAAUCCUUUAAUACACUACACUGCAUUAUGUAUCAGGGAAGGGUACACAUUUUACCACCUAUUGGACUACAGAAGCUCUAUGAUAUAUAUUAUAUGUGUAUAUCAAAUAUAUACAUAAAUACACACACACAUAUAUAUAUGAACAGUACUGUUCUAAAAAAAUUGAUGGCUCAUAUUAUGUAAAUAAUAGUUUGGGGAUAGCGGAUCAUAGGUAAGACCUUGCUGUCAGGAAUAUUAAUAAGAC
rnacentral:lncRNA from 1 species